CCUACGGGUGGCAGCAGUGGGGAAUAUUGCACAAUGGGGGGAACCCUGAUGCAGCAACGCCGCGUGGGUGAAGAAGUACUCCGGUAUGUAAAGCCCUGUCAGCAGGGAAGAAAAUGACGGUACCUGACCAAGAAGCCCCGGCUAACUACGUGCCAGCAGCCGCGGUAAUACGUAGGGGGCAAGCGUUAUCCGGAUUUACUGGGCGUAAAGGGAGCGUAGACGGCAAGGCAAGUCUGGAGUGAAAGCCCGUGGCCCAACCACGGGACUGCUUUGGAAACUGUGUUGCUGGAGUGCAGGAGGGGUAAGCGGAAUGCCUAGUGUAGCGGUGAAAUGCGUAGAUAUCACGCAGAACUCCGAUUGCGAAGGCAGCAUACCGGCGCCCGACUGACGCUGAAGCACGAAAGCGUGGGUAUCGAACAGGAUUAGAUACCCCUGUAGUC
rnacentral:rRNA from 1 species